UACGAAGGGGGGCUAGCGUUGCUCGGAAUCACUGGGCGUAAAGCGCACGUAGGCGGAUUGUUAAGUCAGGGGUGAAAUCCUGGAGCUCAACUCCAGAACUGCCUUUGAUACUGGCGAUCUUGAGUCCGGGAGAGGUGAGUGGAACUGCGAGUGUAGAGGUGAAAUUCGUAGAUAUUCGCAAGAACACCAGUGGCGAAGGCGGGUCUCUGGACAGUUCCUGACGCUGAGGCACGAAGGCCAGGGGAGCAAACGGG
rnacentral:rRNA from 1 species